rnacentral:lncRNA from 1 species
AGAGCUUUGAGAGCCCAUAGGCUGUUUGAAACAUCUUGCGGCUUGAAGCCGUGGCCCGCCACCGUUCUCAAGCGAGAAGCCACAGCUGCCGCCAAGGUCUGCAAGUGUGGCGAUGAGGUGGGGUCCCAGCCUGAGCCCCGCUGCUGCUGGUCUUGCUUGAGCUUGCCGAGCGCGUACAUGACAAUUGCGAGGUUCUGAGGUUCCGCCUUCCCAAGAACCUCAGGAUCCACUAGCCGCUCCAGCAGAGCUGCUGCAAGCUGAGCCUCCGUGCCGCCGCCGACCAAUCCAGCUUUGCCCAGCGCCCACAGCGGAAUGCUGCAGUUCUUUGCGUUGCGGAUGCGCGGCACGAGCGGCAGGUAGGCCGGCGCAAGCAUGCCGAUAAUGCUGCUGCGUGCUACAGCCGUUUGGCUUGCUCCAGCGCGCGACUCCAGCUGCGUUCAAAGCAGUUAUGAGGGACAUACAUGGGGUCAAGUGCUAUAUGCAUGUGUUUGUGCGUGUGCGUGAACAGGUGCGCAUGCAAGUCCUGUGUGGCCAUCUGCGUCGUGAGAACCGGAAGUCCGGGCCGAGAACGACAACAAUGGACUCGCCCUCCAUUCUGCACUUCAUUUCUGUGCCCAUUCCCACCUGCACGUAUUAGUCCUCCCUCUCACCUUGCCGCACAGGUUGAACGCCGCACACAUGGUAAUGAAGUCUUUUCGGCCCUCCCACACUGAUAGCCGCUGGCUGAUGAUUGCUUGCAGCUCCUCCAGAGUCCGACACACGGUCAUGUCAUCCGCGGGGUCACGCCCGCUGCCCCUGCUUCUGCCGCUGGCGCGGCUGCCAUCGCCUGCCCUGCCUCCGCCGCUUCCCCUACCCNNNNNNNNNNNNNNNNNNNNNNNNNNNNNNNNNNNNNNNNNNNNNNNNNNNNNNNNNNNNNNNNNNNNNNNNNNNNNNNNNNNNNNNNNNNNNNNNNNNNGAGAAUAACGCAAGGAACGAAAGGUCAGGUGCGUGUAGGUCGCUGGGCCAAAGCCGCCUGAGUAGCUGUGGCUUGGUAUGGAUGAUAAAGCAACUGAAUCAAUUUGCCACCGGUGUUGAGGCGAGGGCGACCUGACCGCGAAAUACACGGCCCGAGGGCACGCCCCGUAUCAACACCCCUCGCGACCUCCAAACACGUGCACUGAACCGCGAAGCCCUCCCCCAAGCCUAUCGCGGCUGCUAUUCCCAUGUCCUCCUCCCCAACCAUUCUGCAUACAGGCUCUGGCGUGAGUCCCUGCCCGCGUCAUUUGACACCCGUCGACCACGACUGAGGUGCAACGCAUGUCGCUUACAAAUCCAACAUCCCGCCCGACACGAGAGGGGCAGAAACGGCGGGGCAGACGGCCAGCCUCUUGAACAUGAGCAUAGCAGUGCAAUAUCGCACAUUGGGUCCCCGCCUGCUUCACCUGGCCACCUUUGCUGAUUUGUCUGACAUCCCUGUCUACACACUUUUAUCCGCCCACGCUUGAGACGUCCUCCUCAGCGCGCAGGCUUCACGGUACCAACCGUGCGGUAUCAUCGCUACAUGAUGAGUGCACUGCCCCAACCAUUGAAGCAUCACAAGGUGCUUGCCUGCCGCCGCCGCCGCUGAUACGUACACGAUUGCUGCCACACAACCAACACAUCACACCCAACAAUCACAACAACAAAACAACUGAGACCCGCCGCCGUGCAACGCACACUGUACACGCCCCAGGGCCGAGAACACAACGCAACACAAGCACCUGACAUGCCUCAUCCAGGCAUGCGUCACUCAAUCGCCCACCGAGCCGACCUCGCACACGCCGUUCGUGAGCCCCUGCGGCUGACAUGCCCGGCCCUGCCCCCUUGGCACCGCAGCCCUGCCGCCUUGGCACCGCCGCCCAUUGCCCCACCCCCAUGCUGCGUGCCAUGUAAGAAUAAAGCCAGGUCCCCAUCAAGCCGCAGCAUAUAUCCCCGCCAAGCCACCAGACUCCUCUUGCCGCACGCUACCAACCACCACCAGCACAGGACCGGCACCUGCCUGUCCCCCUGUUUAGUUUGGGCUGAUAUUUACAACCCCCCACCCUCCCCUCCCCACCUUCCCCAUUGCCAACCUCGCCCACCGCGCCGACAUGCACGCCGGCACCUCGCUCGUGCCUCUCGAGGCCUCCCAUCUUCCGUAGCUAGAGAUCCCUGUCCACGAGUAUCCACUUGGGCUCCAGCCCACUCCUGAUGCACACGCCGGCAUUACCCAGGUCUGCAUGGUUUGCAUGCCUGCCUGUCUACCGUGCACGCACACCUGCCUAGCUACGCAGACCUACUACCGUCCUUUUUGACCCGCCUCCGCCGCCACCGCCGCCGUCUCCUCCCUCUGGCCGCCGUGCCGGCCGCGCCAGCAGCUGCUGUUGUGGGUUGCCGCCAGAGCCGCCGCCGCCCUUGUUGCUGUUGGUGGUGGUGGUUGCGGGCUGGUGUGGCGCGGCCGUAGUGACAGCCGCAGCGCCGCCCACGGCACCCGCUGUCACUGUUUCCACCGCCACCGCCGGCUGCUGCAGCCGGCGCAGCAGGUAGGCCUCCUGCUCGGAAGGAGUCAGGAAGUCCCAUUCCCAGUACGGCACUAGUAGGACGCCGCCCUCCUUAAACGCCCGCCGCAGCUGCCGAAUGCGAAUGGCCGUACCCCCUUCCACAGCAGCGCUGGGGUCUUGCUGCUGCGUUUGUGUCAAGAGGUAACGUUUCGGUCCGAGGAACUCCACCGCCGCCUGCUGCCCGUCACUCAGCCGCACCACCGCAUCCACUGGCGCCAACACUCCUGGCGCGACAACGCCCGUCUGAAGGGACUGAACGGCUAGGCCCCCUGCUGCCUUGAGGCCCUGCUGCUCAAGCCGCCGCAGCGCUGCAACGACCUGCUUUUGAGUAUCUGAUGUGGGCUUGGCGUCUUCCCUCUCAGUAGUCACCGCCGCUGCCAUCGCCGCCUGCAGUCCGCUGCCGCUGCCCAGGGCCGCCGCCACCUCGCCGCCUAGCUCCUGCUGCGCCUGCCACAGCUGUUUGAGAUGCUCAGUUGUAAGACCCUCCCAACGGCUUACUGCUUCACGGGCCAGCUGAAUGGAUAGCUGCUUCAUGUCGGGAGAAUACGUGCCUCCGAACACAGCCAUGGCCCACAGGCUGUUGCAUACGUGCUGGUGCAGGACUGUGUCAGAGUCAUGCUGCAGCAGCUCGCCCAGCCGACCGCACACCGCCGCCUCCAAGCCAGCGUGCCGCAGCUGCAGCACCGCCAGCGCGUACAGCGUAUUGGCACAGUUCUGACCACCGGCACUACUGGCGCGCAUGGCUGCUACUGCUGCGCCCGAGUCAAGCAGCUCCGCCGGCGGCUGGUGGCGCAUCAACGCAAGCGCGUACAGCAGAUUGGACCAGGCCUGAGAUGUUGCGCGGGCCAUGGCGCCCGACUGCGUUGCUGCGUCCACCGCUGCUGAAACCCACUGCCGCUGCUCUGCCGGCGCCUCCGGGCCCGCCCCAAAUCCCAUCUUGGCUAGGGCCCACGCUGAGUUGCUGAGGUCCUGAGCGAUGUACCCGUCAAACCCCCGCCGCAUGUCCUCUUCGGCCACUGCCACCACCAGCUCUGCCUGCUCGCUGCAUAGCUGCAGCCCCUCCAGCGCCAGCAGGAUGUUGGAUAGCUGUUGCGGGAUAAAUGCUGCAGCGAGCUCCGGUUUCCGGAGCUGCUGCAGUGCCUCCCCGCACAGCGCCUCAACUGCUGACCGGUACUCUGGUCCUGUGCACCCCAGAGCUUUGAGAGCCCAUAGGCUGUUUGAAACAUCUUGCGGCUUGAAGCCGUGGCCCGCCACCGUUCUCAAGCGAGAAGCCACAGCUGCCGCCAAGGUCUGCAAGUGCGGAGAUGAGGUGGGGUCCCAGCCUGAGCCCCGCUGCUGCUGGUCUUGCUUGAGCUUGCCGAGCGCGUACAUGACAAUUGCGAGGUUCUGAGGUUCCGCCUUCCCAAGAACCUCAGGAUCCACUAGCCGCUCCAGCAGAGCUGCUGCAAGCUGAGCCUCCGUGCCGCCGCCGACCAAUCCAGCUUUGCCCAGCGCCCACAGCGGAAUGCUGCAGUUCUUUGCGUUGCGGAUGCGCGGCACGAGCGGCAGGUAGGCCGGCGCAAGCAUGCCGAUAAUGCUGCUGCGUGCUACAGCCGUUUGGCUUGCUCCAGCGCGCGACUCCAGCUGCGUUCAAAGCAGUUAUGAGGGACAUACAUGGGGUCAAGUGCUAUAUGCAUGUGUUUGUGCGUGUGCGUGAACAGGUGCGCAUGCAAGUCCUGUGUGGCCAUCUGCGUCGUGAGAACCGGAAGUCCGGGCCGAGAACGACAACAAUGGACUCGCCCUCCAUUCUGCACUUCAUUUCUGUGCCCAUUCCCACCUGCACGUAUUAGUCCUCCCUCUCACCUUGCCGCACAGGUUGAACGCCGCACACAUGGUAAUGAAGUCUUUUCGGCCCUCCCACACUGAUAGCCGCUGGCUGAUGAUUGCUUGCAGCUCCUCCAGAGUCCGACACACGGUCAUGUCAUCCGCGGGGUCACGCCCGCUGCCCCUGCUUCUGCCGCUGGCGCGGCUGCCAUCGCCUGCCCUGCCUCCGCCGCUUCCCCUACCCGCCGCCGCCUGCACUAUUGGCCGCCCGAGGCGGGAGCUACUGCUGCCGCAGAGCACUACCGCCGUCGAGACGCGCAGUGGGGAUGAGCUGCUACUGUUGAGUGCUGGGACAGAAGUAGCGGCGGCAGCGCGCGGUGAGCUGGGGCCGGUGUCGGCAGCGGUCCGAUGCAUGCCAUAAACGAACAGUCUUCUAAACGCGCACGCCGGUGGCGGUGCCUGGAGACGGGCUGAUAACGAUUGGCUACAGCCAUGUACGCUGUGCCUGUGCGCACCAGCGGGAGAGCCCGCGACGACGCGCAGGGCGAGCAUCUCGGGCCUCCUCACGGCGGCGACCUGAGCUAUAGCGACUCUAUCCGUCUACGUGUCUGAGCACUGCAAAUGCAUUAGGCUUGCAUUUGUGGGAGAAUAACGCAAGGAACGAAAGGUCAGGUGCGUGUAGGUCGCUGGGCCAAAGCCGCCUGAGUAGCUGUGGCUUGGUAUGGAUGAUAAAGCAACUGAAUCAAUUUGCCACCGGUGUUGAGGCGAGGGCGACCUGACCGCGAAAUACACGGCCCGAGGGCACGCCCCGUAUCAACACCCCUCGCGACCUCCAAACACGUGCACUGAACCGCGAAGCCCUCCCCCAAGCCUAUCGCGGCUGCUAUUCCCAUGUCCUCCUCCCCAACCAUUCUGCAUACAGGCUCUGGCGUGAGUCCCUGCCCGCGUCAUUUGACACCCGUCGACCACGACUGAGGUGCAACGCAUGUCGCUUACAAAUCCAACAUCCCGCCCGACACGAGAGGGGCAGAAACGGCGGGGCAGACGGCCAGCCUCUUGAACAUGAGCAUAGCAGUGCAAUAUCGCACAUUGGGUCCCCGCCUGCUUCACCUGGCCACCUUUGCUGAUUUGUCUGACAUCCCUGUCUACACACUUUUAUCCGCCCACGCUUGAGACGUCCUCCUCAGCGCGCAGGCUUCACGGUACCAACCGUGCGGUAUCAUCGCUACAUGAUGAGUGCACUGCCCCAACCAUUGAAGCAUCACAAGGUGCUUGCCUGCCGCCGCCGCCGCUGAUACGUACACGAUUGCUGCCACACAACCAACACAUCACACCCAACAAUCACAACAACAAAACAACUGAGACCCGCCGCCGCGCAACGCACACUGCUGUACACGCCCCAGGGCCGAGAACACAACGCAACACAAGCACCUGACAUGCCUCAUCCAGGCAUGCGUCACUCAAUCGCCCACCGAGCCGACCUCGCACACGCCGUUCGUGAGCCCCUGCGGCUGACAUGCCCGGCCCUGCCCCCUUGGCACCGCAGCCCUGCCGCCUUGGCACCGCCGCCCAUUGCCCCACCCCCAUGCUGCGUGCCAUGUAAGAAUAAAGCCAGGUCCCCAUCAAGCCGCAGCAUAUAUCCCCGCCAAGCCACCACACUCCUCUUGCCGCACGCUACCAACCACCACCAGCACAGGACCGGCACCUGCCUGUCCCCCUGUUUAGUUUGGGCUGAUAUUUACAACCCCCCACCCUCCCCUCCCCACCUUCCCCAUUGCCAACCUCGCCCACCGCGCCGACAUACACGCCGGCACCUCGCUCGUGCCUCUCGAGGCCUCCCAUCUUCCGUAGCUAGAGAUCCCCAUCCACUAGCAUCCACUUGGGCUCCAGCCCACUCCUGAUGCACACGCCAGCAUUAUCCAGGUCUGCAUGGUUUGCAUGUCUGCCUACCGUGCACGCACACCUGCCUAGCUACGCCGACCUACUACCGUCCUCCUCGACCCGACCCGCCGCCGCCGCCGCCUCCCUCUGGCCGCCGUGCCGGCCGCACCAGCAGCUGCUGUUGUGGGUUGCCGCCAGAGCCGCCGCCGCCCUUGCUGGUAGUGGUGGUGGUUGCGGGCUGCUGCGGCGCGGCCGUAAUGACAGCCGCAGCGCCGCCCACGGCACCCACUGCCACUGUUUCCACCGCCACCGCCGGCUGCUGCAGCCGGCGCAGCAGGUAGGCCUCCUGCUCCUCCGGGCUCUUCAGGCCCGCCCACUCCCAGUACGGCAGCACAAGAACGCCGCCGCCCUCCCCGAACGCCCGCCGCAGCUGCCGAAUGCGCAUGGCCGUACCACCGUCAACAGCGGUGGGGUCGCGCUUUAGAUUGGACAGAAAGCGUGCCGGUCCGAGGAGCUCCACCGCCGCCUGCUGCCCGUCACUCAGCCGCACCACCGCAUCCACUGGCGCCAACGCGCCUUGCGCGACCACGCCCGUUUGUACGGACACGACGGCAAGGCCUCCUGCUGCCUCACGCCCCUGGUGCUGCUCAAGCCGCCGCAGCGCUGCGACGACCUGCUUUUGGAUGUCAGAUGUGGGCUUGGCGUUUUCCCUCUCAGCAGUCACCGCCGCUGCCAUCGCCGCCUGCAGGCCGGGGCUGCUCCCCAGGGCCGCCGCAACCUCGCCGCCUAGCUCUUGCUGCGCCUGCCACAGCUGAUUGAGAUUCUCAGUUGUAAAACCCUCCCAACGGCUUACUGCUUCACGGGCUAGCUGAAUGGAUAGCUGCUGCAUGUCGGGAGAAUACGUGCCUCCAAUCACCGCCAUGGCCCACAGGCUGUUUGAUAUGUUUUGGUUGUUUACCGCCUGCCUGUCGCGCUGCAGCAGCUCGCCCAGCCGGCCGCACACCGCCGCCUCCAAGCCAGCGUGCCGCAGCUGCAGCACCGCCAGCGCCCAGAGCGUGUUUGCACAGUUCUGACCACCGGCACUACUGGCGCGCAUGGCUGCUGCUGCUGCACCCGCAUCCAGCAGCUCCGGCGGCGGCUGGUGGCGCAUCAACGCAAGCGCGUACAGCAGGUUGGCCCAGGCCUGAGGCGUCGCACGGGCCAUGACGCCCGGCCGCAUUGCUGCGACCACCGCUGCCGAAGCCCACUGCCGCUGCUCUGCCGGCGCCUCCGGGCCCACCCCAAAUCCGAUCUUGGCCAGGGCCCACGCUGAGUUGCUGAGGUCCUGAGCCACGUACCCGGCAAAUCCCCGACGCACGUCCUCUGCGGCCACUGCCACCACCAGCUCUGCCUGCUCGCCGCCCAGCUGCAGCCCCUCCAGCGCCAGCAGGAUGUUGGACAGAUGCUGCGGCUUGAACGCUUCAGCAUCCUUCGGUGCUCGGAGCUGCCGCAGCGCCUCCCCGCACAGCGCCUCAACUGCUGAUCGGUACUCUGGUCCCAUGCAACCCAAAGCCGCAAACGCCCAGAGGGUAUUGGACAGAUGUUGCGUCUCCAUGCUGAGACUGAGCGCCGCUGCCGCCUCUGCCAGCGGCAGCAGGAGUUCCGGUUCCGGGUAACCCAGCUUGGCGCACGCCCAGAGAAUGUUGGACACGUCCUGUGCUGUGAAGCCGUGACCAACCGCCACUCCCAACCGGGAGGCCACAGCUGCCGCCAAGGUCUGCAAGUGCGGAGAUGAGGUGGGGUCCCAGCCUGAGCCCCGCUGCUCCUGGUCUUGCUUGAUCUUGCCGAGUGCGUACAUGACGUUUGUAAGACUUUGAGGUUUUGCAGUUCCAAGAACCUCUGAAUCCAACAGCCGCUCCAGCAGCGCUGCUAUGAGCUGAGCCUCCAUGGCCGAGCCGCCGCUGAUCCCUGCUUUCCCCAGCGCCCACAGCACGAUGCUGCAAUCAACCGCCUUGCGGAUGCGCGGCACGAGCGGCAGGUAGGCCGGCGCAAGCAUGCCGAUAAUGCUGCUGCGUGCUACAGCCGUUUGGCUUGCUCCAGCGCGCGACUCCAGCUGCGUUCAAAACAGUUAUGAGGGACAUACAUGGGGUCAAGUGCUAUAUGCAUGUGUUUGUGCGUGUGCGUGAACAGGUGCGCAUGCAAGUCCUGUGUGGCCAUCUGCGUCGUGAGAACCGGAAGUCCGGGCCGAGAAUGACAAC